AUAGCCAUUACGUAAAUGCUGAUCUCAAUACCUGACUUGCUGUGAUCUGAGAUGCCAAGACCUCUGCAAGGGGCAAGGAAGACCCCCAGCUGUGCUUGUUGCAGAAAACCAGGCACCUGAAGAAGAAAAAGGCAGUAGUCUGGAGAAAUAGGGGUAACUCUUUAAUAUACCAGUCAGAGAUUCUGAGUGUUAACUCCUCCACGCCCGCCAGCAUAUUAAUAACCCAGAGGACAAGUGUUCCUGGAUCAUUGGACUCCAGUUUGAGAGAAGGACCACAUCUUACUCCGGACCUGGAUCCAUCUUCUGUGGGCAGCUCUGGUAAUCUGGUGAAUGACAACUUUUGAGCUGUUUACAUACUGGAGCUGAAACUGGAAGUUCAAGAUAAUGGGUGUGUUGUGUUGGAAAGAAAAACUAGAUGAGGAAUUACAAUACAUGGCUCUACCUCCACUGGCCACAGAGACAAGCCACUUACCUCUCUGAACUUCAGUUGUCUCAUCUACAAAAUGAGGUCCCUCACCUGCCUUGCUGAGUUGUUAAGGAUCACAUUGGAUCAAACACAGGAAGCAUCCUGUAGCCUUUGAAGUGUGAGAAGUGUAAGAUGCUGGAGAUGGGUCUGGAAAAAGCCUUUGAUCAGCACUGGGAGGAAAGUGGCUA